UGCCCCGUGGUGUAAUCGGCAACACUUCGGACUUUGGUUCCGACGUUUCAGGUUCGAGCCCUGGCGGGGCAG
rnacentral:tRNA from 1 species